UAAUGACUCAAACCUAUAUGGCCCCUGGAUUGGACUGCGGCCGAUCAGGCUGUUGGUGAGGUAAUGGCCCACCAAACCUGUAACCGGUACGGGCUCUGAGAGGAGGAGCCCGGAGAUGGGCACUGAGACAAGGGCCCAGGCCCUAUGGGGCGCAGCAGGCGCGAAACCUCUGCAAUAGGCGAAAGCCUGACAGGGUUACUCUGAGUGAUCUCCGUUAAGGAGAUCUUUUGGCACCUCUAAAAAUGGUGCAGAAUAAGGGGUGGGCAAGUCUGGUGUCAGCCGCCGCGGUAAUACCAGCACCCCGAGUGGUCGGGACGUUUAUUGGGCCUAAAGCAUCCGUAGCCGGUUCUACAAGUCUUCCGUUAAAUCCAGCUGCUUAACAGAUGGGCUGCGGAAGAUACUAUGGAGCUAGGAGGCGGGAGAGGCAAGCGGUACUCGAUGGGUAGGGGUAAAAUCCGUUGAUCCAUUGAAGA
rnacentral:rRNA from 1 species